CAGGGAGACAACAAAAUGUUUAAUAUUAUUAUUUUGUCACCUUAGGUCGAUCGGUAUCUCACGUUUUUAAUUUAUUAAGAAUUUCAUUUCCUAAGUUUUUUCUAGGUCACACCCAUUAUUUUCCUGGGCCAUUAGCUCAGGUGGUUAGAGCGCACCCCUGAUAAGGGUGAGGUCCCUGGUUCAAGUCCAGGAUGGCCCAUAUCUCUAUGUUGGGGGUAUAGCUCAGUUGGUAGAGCGCCUGCUUUGCAAGCAGGAUGUCAGCGGUUCGAGUCCGCUAACCUCCACUGACUGAUCUCCUACAACGAGCCAAUGGUGAGAACCGUUGUGUGAUGUGAUUUAGAAUUUAAGUUUGCUGGAAGACCCUAGCUUCUUAUCAUUCCAGGCCUCAAUCAAUUGAGGUUAGGUUGAUAGGACGCUGGGCUCACUGUAAUUCGCAAGAAUUGCAGAGAUGUUCAGCAGAACCUUGACAACUGCAUAGGUAAGUCUGGAAAGAAUAAAGCAUCUCAUGGAUGCAUGAUUCUUGGGAAUCAGCUAAUGCAAUCUGCAUCAGUAGAGAGCUGAGGUUGAUGAACGAGAAUUAUGUUUGAUUCUUGAGUCAAGAGCCGAGACUCUAUAGCGUUCUUUCGAUGUCAUCGAGGCAUCGAGAGUUUGAUUGGUCAUUCAAACCAUCUUCAAUGACAAACAAUUCAGUUUAACUGGAGAAGUUUGAGAUUGAAGCCAGGUGAAUUGCUAAGAAUACGUAUUCAACUACGUGAAGCGUUAUAGAGAUUAAUU
rnacentral:tRNA from 1 species